CUAUAUAAUUUCCAGUUUGCACCAUAAACAUGAUACAAAAAAAGCCCACAAGCGAUUUGAAAACUCAGCUUCCCUCAAAUAAACCAAAAAGGUAAUUUGAAAGAAAAACCACCAAGUUGUCAUCUCAUGAAGGGUUUGCAUUGGAAAUCAACCCGUGACUUGUGGAUUUCACGAUCAGAAAGGGGAUGUGUUAAACUGUGAAUGCUGGGGAAAACGUCAAUCGUUAUCGGUGACUUGGGAACAAUAGUAAGAACAGGAAGGUACACAAUAGCCGAGUUUGGUCUGGGAGGAAGAAAUCGUGAUUUUGCUGUCACAAUUGCGGGACAGCCAACACCCAAGACCCAGUCGUGGAUGACGGUGACAGAACAGCUCAUGAUAAACCAAGGGAGAACCAGAAGGAGCAGAUAAGGAUGUCACAAACUGUGGAUAUAUGAAACACAAUUACUAGCCUGCUGCAUUUGUUCUCUCAGGUGCUAUCAGAUAGCGGUGAUAGGGUUGGCAGUGUGUAGCUCCUGAGCGCAGGGCUUGGCAGCUCAUGGUUCAUGUGGUGGAUUCUGAAGCUGAAGACUUUCUGAAGAAGGGUCCUGACCUGAAACAUCAACUUUCCUGCUCCUCUGAUGCUGCCUGACCUGUUGUGUUCCUCCAGCUCUACACUGUGUUAUUUCAUUUUUCAGGACUAUUGUUUCAUUUCAUCCUUUCUUCCCUUUUUCUAUUUCUUUUCUGGACACCUUUAUAACCAGGAAUAUUUAACACCGAAUCCCAUCCCUUGUUAAACCACGUCUCUAUUUAUGUCACAACAUCAUAAUCCCACAUGACUAUCAGUGCCUGUAACCCCCCCAGUCUUAAUCAUUAUACUCUGCAUAACCAUUUCAGCAAUGUAACCCUGUUUAGACUUUCUGUCCUACUUCGACUCCACCUAUUAACUUUCUGUUUUCUAUUCUGGUGCUAUCUCUGUAUUUCAGCAUGCUGGUAUUACUCUCGGGUAUUCUCUCCUAAAUCCUGUAUCCCUGCUGAGUUAACCCUCAUCAACAGCAUGAGCAAACCACCCCCACCAGGAACUCAGUUGCUGUUCUGUUCGGGUACAGCUCCUUUGGUUUGUACAGUGACAUCUCCCCAGAGCCAGUCCCAGUGUCGUAGAACUCUAAGGCCCUCCCUCCUGCACUACCAUUGUCCUAUGUCUGUUCUCACUUGCGCACGGCACUGGAGACUACUACCUUUGAUGUGCUGCUUGCUAAUUCUCGACCUAGGCUCCCCAAAUUCUGAUUUCAGGCCACAUUCCUUCUUCCUAGCUAUGUUGUUGGUUCUCACGCAGAGUACAGCAUCUGGCUUUAUGCCCAAAAAUAUCCUGCAGCUGCUCUGUGACAUUCAUGACCCUAGUACCAAGGAAGCGACAUAUCAUCAAACCAAAGGAACAGAAAUGCCUGUCUGCUUCUCGAAUCCCUGUCAGUACUGAUCUCCCUCAUCUUCAUUCCCCCCUAGUACAACUGGGCCACCAGUAGUUACCUCUUGGUGCACUGCUUCAAGGAACUUUCAUCCUCGCCAGUAUCCAGAAUGGAAAAUUACUUUGCAAGAAGUAUUCCUGCUCUACUUGCCUGAUAUCUUGGACUGUCUUGUGGUUACCUAUUCACUCUCUGCCUACUUGCCCCUAAGCUGUGGUGUGACCACCUCCCCUGAGCAUGUUAUCCAUGGCUCUCUGCCUCAUGGAUACACCUAAGUGACUCCAGCUGCCACUUUGAAUUCUGAAAUAUAGCUCAAGCUUGUAUAGCUGCUGCCACACGAAGUGUCCCCAAAUCCUCCUCCUUGACAGGCAUUCCACUUGGCCAAGCUACCCUGCCAUUUCCUUAAGUUUACUUUUACCUUCGAUUAACUCUAGUUUAGCUUGGGCUUAACUCAGUUCUGAAGAAGGGCCACUAGACUUCAUAGAGUCAUAGUCAUGGAGUCAUGCAGCGUGGAAACAGACCCUUCGGUCCAGCCAGCC